AGAAUCAACGCUGGCGGCGUGCCUAACACAUGCAAGUCGAACGAGAAAGUGGAGCAAUCCAUGAGUAAAGUGGCGCACGGGUGAGUAACACGUGACUAACCUACCCUUGAGUGGGGAAUAACUGAGGGAAACCUUGGCUAAUACCGCAUAAUACCUACGGGUCAAAGGAGCAAUUCGCUGAAGGAGGGGGUCGCGGCAGAUUAGCUAGUUGGCGGGGUAAUGGCCCACCAAGGCAGUGAUCUGUA
rnacentral:rRNA from 1 species